UCCGUCUCAAGGGGGUGUCCGGCUUGACCGGACUGAGAGGAGCGAUCCAACCCCACGAACCUGAUCCGGAUCAUGCCGGCGGAGGGAUUGAGGCGGGCGGCCCG
rnacentral:ncRNA from 1 species